AACGAACGCUGGCGGCAUGCCUAACACAUGCAAGUCGAACGAGACCUUCGGGUCUAGUGGCGCACGGGUGCGUAACGCGUGGGAACCUGCCCUUAGGUUCGGAAUAACUCCCCGAAAGGGGUGCUAAUACCGGUUAAUGUCUUCGGACCAAAGAUUUAUCGCCUUUGGAUGGGCCCGCGUUGGCUUAGCUAGUUGGUAGGGUAAAAGCCUACCAAGGCGACGAUCCAUAGCUGGUCUGAGAGGAUGAUCAGCCACACUGGGGCUGAGACACGGCCCAGACUGCGACGGGAGGCAGGAGUAGAGAAUAUUGGACGAUGAGCGAAGACCUGAUCCAGCAAUGCGGGGGGAGUGAUGAAGGCCUUAGUGUUGUGAAGCUCUUUUACCCGGGAUGAUAGUGACAGUACCGGGUGAAUAAGCACCGGCUAACUCCGUG
rnacentral:rRNA from 1 species